rnacentral:rRNA from 1 species
UACAGAGGUCUCAAGCGUUGUUCGGAUUCAUUGGGCGUAAAGGGUGCGUAGGUGGCGGGGUAAGUCUGGUGUGAAAUCUCGGGGCUCAACCCCGAAACUGCACUGGAUACUGCCUUGCUCGAGUACUGGAGAGGAGAUUGGAAUUUACGGUGUAGCAGUGAAAUGCGUAGAUAUCGUAAGGAAGACCAGUGGCGAAGGCGAGUCUCUGGACAGUUACUGACACUGAGGCACGAAGGCCAGGGGAGCAAACGGG